GAGCCCUCUCCCUUCUCUCUCCCCGACCCUCUCUUCCUCUCCGACCUCUUCACCUUCUUCCGGCCAUAACUCCUCCAUCCGGCGACGGAUUUUGACGUAUAAGAUGUCGUUGGAAAGCUCUCUUCCUAUUCUUCAUUUCUGGGUUCGUUUCGUAGCUUAAUAUGAACUGUGGAAGGUGCAGCAACGAGAAGAAGAGGACGGUCACUGUAGCAGUUUUGAGUCAACGCCGAUAUUUUCCGAUUCCGGCAGUCUCCAGCCACCUAACUGGCAUCGAAGGGUUCUUGGAAUUUCUGGAAAUUUUUCACCGGCCAAAUUGGAGCUCUUCCAGGGCAAUGCCGCGAGCUACGGUUAAAUGAAGGAACUCGUUUGCGUGGUCGCCCAAUAGUACUUUUGCAGGCGAAAUUAGUUGAGGUCGGGCGUACAUGGAGUCGAGGCAUAGCCAACAGCAUUGCUUCCGCGUACUCAUUCUAUUUCUGUUUUCUUUGUUACCUAGUGGAUUAGUAUUGCUCUGAUAACCUAUGGGAUUAAUAUUGUUUUUGGGUUGAGACUGAUA